rnacentral:rRNA from 1 species
AGUCACUGACAUUAGAUACCCGCGUAGUCCCAGCCGUAAACUAUGCGCGUUAGGUGUAUCGGUGACCACGAGUCACCGAGGUGCCGAAGGGAAACCGUGAAACGUGCCGCCUGGGAAGUACGGUCGCAAGGCUGAAACUUAAAGGAAUUGGCGGGGAGCACCACAAGAGGUGGAGGCUGCGGUUCAAUUGGACUCAACGCCGGAAAACUCAUCGGGAGCGACAGCAGUAUGAUUGCCAGGUUGAUGACCUUGCUUGACAAGCUG